AUGAGUCAGCCUGCUCAGGGUUCUGCUCCCUGGUCUCAGGGGCCCUCCCUGCAGGUUUCUGGAGGGUUCAGUAGGAAACAGACAAGGACUGCAGGAGAAUCUGUCGACCGUGGUUCUCCCGCUGACCCAGGUCCUUCCCUCAGCCGGGAACACUCUCUGGUGCCUGAUUGCGGACAGUGUCCAGAGCCUAUGGCCACGAUGCUCCUGCCUGCGGUGCCCAGCGCGCAGGUGCGGGCGCCUGAGCCUCUCUGUCCUCUGCUCGCAUCUCCGUCUGGGGUGGUCUUCCUAACGCCCUGUGCUCCUCUGGGAACAGCCACUCUCCCCGCGUGUCCCAUUUACCUACCCCCUCAACCCUACCCAUGCGUCUAUGUGGUUCAACACGGAAUCCCCAGUGGCCAGCACAGGGUAAGGUUUAGAGAGAUUCAGUGGCUUGCUUCCCUGUCGAGGUCAGCACCCAAGCCCAGCUGGCCGGCAGAACAUCCCCUGACCCUUGAGCCUUGGCUGUUGGGUCCCCAGGUGCCCCACCUUUAGCCCCAGGCUCUUUCCCUGGCAGUUUACACCCCUUGCUUCUUCAUGUAUUUCGCUGUGUCAGGUCUUAGUUUUGGCAUUGGAGGUCUUUAGUUGCUGCUUAUGGGAUCUUAGUUCCCUGACAGGGGAUCGAACCUGGCCCCCUGUAUUGGGAUUGGGAGUAUGGAGUCUUAGCCACUGGACCACCAGGGAAGUCCCUCAGCUUCUUUUCUUUUUCUUUCAAAUUAUCCCACUAGUUCAGUUCAGUAGCUCAGUCAUGUCCGACUCUUUUCGAUCCCAUGGACUGCAGCAUUCCAGGCCUCCCUGUCCAUCGCCAACUCCCAGAGUUUACUCAAACUCAU
rnacentral:lncRNA from 1 species